AUCGAUGUCGCCAUCGUUGUCGGUCAUUUCCGCAGCGGCAUGCAUGACAUCGUCCCGUUAUGGUCCGAGAAGAUCUUGGUCGCGAUGGCANCCGACAAGGCGACGUUGACGUGGGACGAUCUGCGCACCGAACAUAUCCUGCUCGGCCGCGAUCCCGGUCCCGAGCUCAGGGACCAUUUGUUGUCCAGACUCAACGCAUCCGGCGAUCUGCCGGCCAUUCGUCACUCCCAUAUCGGUCGCGAUUUCGUGCUGNNNUCGAUAUCGAAUCCGACGUCACCCUGCUGUACGAGGCUGACACCGGAGCGCAGCACCCCGG
rnacentral:misc_RNA from 1 species